UGCCUCCACGUAUUUUGCUGUGCUCCGUCAGUGUGGGAGGACAGCAUGAGGUUGCAUUUUGCCUCUUAUUGAGGGUAUGCCGGUUUGGUGUGAGAGAUCACUCACGCAGGGCCGGGCAGCAGAAUUCGGCUUUCAGGCAGCCAUGGUGACCAUGAAUGAUAUCACUCUCCUGAGGGUAACACAGAGAGAUAAAGAACGGAUG